rnacentral:rRNA from 1 species
AUACGUAGGCUCCAAGCGUUGUUCGGAAUUACUGGGCGUAAAGCGAGUGUAGGCGGUCCGUCAAGUUGGUUGUGAAAUCUCCUGGCUCAACUGGGAGGGUGCGACCAAAACUGACGGACUAGAGUCCGGGAGAGGAGAGUGGAAUUCCUGGUGUAGCGGUGAAAUGCGUAGAUAUCAGGAGGAACACCGGUGGUGAAGACGGCUCUCUGGACCGGUACUGACGCUGAGACUCGAAAGCGUGGGGAGCAAACAGGAUUAGAUACCCUGGUAGUCCACGCCCUAAACGUUGCGUACUUGGUGUAGGCUCUUCACUGAGUCUGUGCCGGAGUUAACACGUUAAGUACGCCGCCUGGGGAGUACGGUCGCAAGGCUGAA